CUGCCUUGAGUUGGGUUUUAAUGGGCCUUUUCCUGCCCAAGUGCUAAUGGGCUAGGCAGCCAGAGGUAUGAUUGGGCCAACCCAACACUUCUUUUAAGACCAAGUCCCCUUGGGCUAAGGCUAGAAUUCAAGCUUACCAUGCUUAGGAGUUCAAAAUACUUGAAAGAAUUCAAAGUACUCUCAUGUCGAUGCUCUUGUGCUUAGGAUUAAGCCUUUGGAUGCGCUUUGAGUUUUGGAGGUAGAGCACCUUCUAUCUUAGGGACUUCGAAUUGAUAGAAUUCCACCAUCACUACUUAAUCAUCCCAAGUCUUAGAGGAAUGGAGAGGACUGUGAGUGCAUUAUCAAAAGUAUUCUUCCAUCAUUGCUUAAUCAUCUUAUUCGAAGAAAUAAGUGCUUUCAUGUCAUUGCUCCUAUGCUUAGGAGGGUCUUUUUCAUUCAUAAUUGCACCUUUAGACGUAGAAUGUGUUUGACAGUGUUUUUACUCGAAGUGUUUUUAGUGGAAUUAUUUUCUCUGAAAGUGUUUUUAAAAGAAUCACCUAUUAAGAUCUCGUUUAACAAUGAUUUUAGGAAGCGUUUAUAGAAUUUUUAGCACUUAAAAAUUUUUAUCAUUCAAAUGUUAGAAAGACUAAAAAUGUUAUCUAGAAUCAUUGUCAAAUGCAUUCUAAGUGUUUUUUGAAAAAACACUACAAGUGAUUUUCCAAUAUUAUAAGUGAUUUUUCAUAUUCUUAAAAAGGUUUCCUAAAUUUUUCCAAAUGCAUAAUUUAUUUAUAAAAAAACACUUUUUAAGUUAAAAGCGCUUCCCAAAUUUAUUAUCAAACAGACCUGUAGUAACAAGCUUGGAACCCCAAAGAUUAAGAAAAAAAAAUGCUUAAAAAGAGGUUGAAAUGAUCUAAAAAACACAAAAUGUGAUCAACCGGUCAACUGAUUGCCUCAACCAGUUGAACCACUUGACCUUGACCAGUUUGACCCCAAAAUAGUCUUAAGUUAAGUGAAAAGGUCCCAAACGGCUCCUAUCAUGUUGAAACUUUGAGAGAACCUAGAGUGCUACUAAAGUCAAGUGAUGGAUCCGAAAACCCCCUCUAAAAGCUCUUCAAAAAUAGCCUAGGAGUUAAUGCUAAAAUUAAGUAAUAGACGAACCAUCAAGGAGCAGAUGAAUGACCAAACAGAAUGAGAUUCUAUGUGUGUACUACAUGAGACUACAAGGGAGAGAGAACAAGCAUGAUGAAUAAGUGUUAUGAGUACAAAAUGGAGGGUCUACAACUAGAUCCAUUAGAAUCCAAUUUUGAAGUUAACUUAACAUCUUACUACAAAAAGUCAACUACACAUUAGUACCCUAUGUAUAUUACAAUUAGACAUUAAGUUCUCGAUUUCGUGACAUGCUAUCCAUUAUAUAUAGUUUUCCCAUGAAUUGGUGUCCAUAAUCUAAUAGGGUGAAAGCUAUCAACCUCUCAAAAUUACCUCUAUCAUCCUUGAGUUAUAAAUCAUCUUAUUAUAUGAUCAACUUACAUAUAAUAGUUCACAAAAAACUUAUGUCAAGUUCCACUUAAGGAACUACUAUGAACAUAAUUUACCUGAACAUGUGCCCUUAGGGUCACACAAAGGGAAACACUAUUUCAAUCCCAUGAGAUCAUGGUGCUUCUAUUGAGAAUACUUGUUAUUACCGACUUCUUUUAACAGUGACUCAAUCUAUAGGGAAUAUAUUAUCACAUUAGGAUCUUACUUGUAGAUCAAAGUCAUUGAUAACUCUGACACAAAUUCAGUAUUUUCUCAAGGUUGAGAGACAAUACAAUAUAACAGCAUAACCUCAAAUGCAUUGUCUAAGUCUAUGAACCAUCUAUGAACAAAUCAUCAACUUAUAAGAAACCUAUGAUUUAAAUAUUUCAUACAAUUCCUAAUACACCAAAGUCAUGCACGAUCCAAGAAAUGUUGGUCAAAAUGCUCAUUAGGUACAAUGCAUGGAGCAAGGAUACAUAAAAGUGCAAUUGGAAUAUAAUUAAAUAAAUGAUAAAUUCUAAAUUUAUUAUAUCAUUUCAUGUUUUUAAGGGUUUUAUCCUAACUGUCAAGUCUUUGAAAGACCAACUCUUUAAAAGAUUAAUGGAGUCUCAAACAUAAAACAAAUAAGAUUGAUAUAGAUUUUCCUAUGGGCUUGAGUUACUUAAUCUAGCUCAUUGGAUCCUAAUUAAUUAAUUAACCCUAAUGGAUUCUAAUUAAUUAAUUAACCCAAUAAAAAUAAUUAAUCAUAAAAUUAUGUGUAACCUUACACUUUUACCAAACACUUUUAUGCACAUAAUGAUUAAUUUUUCAUAAAGCCUCAAAAUAAAUAAUCAUAAGUUUUUGUGCCACCUUAUGUUUUUGCUAACAUGACCUUAUGUACAUAUAUAAUUAAAUCUCUUAUUUUUCUCAAGUUUUCUACCAAAAAAAAAAAAUGCAAGCUCAAGCAAGGAUCGCUAGGACCCAUAGAAAAAUAUUGCUCCUUUGUAAUCUAAUUCUAAAGUUUACUCAACACUUAAUUAGAGAGAGCUAACUACAUUCCAGUAUCUUAUGUCAUUAUAUCGAGAUAAGAAUUGAUUAAGUUCAAUUUAAUCAAUUCCUUUGGUUCGUGACCUACUAUCUACUACAUGUAAACUCCCUAUGAAUUGGUGUCGUAAUUUAAUGAGGUAAAUGUUAUCAAUCUCAGGAGAUUAUCUUUCUAAUCAUUGAGUUUCAAAUCAUCCUAUUAUGUGAUCAAAUUCUAUAUUUUAAUUCACAAAGAGCAUAUGUCAAAUUCCAUUAAAAAAAUUAUUGCAAUGCCACAAAUUUCAUGAUUAUAAGUCUUAGGAUCACCCAAAGGGACACACUAUUUCAAAUCCAUGAAAUAUCAUGGUACUUUUAUUGAGAAUACUUGUUGUCACAUGCCUUAAUUAAUAAUGAUACAAUUCAUAGGGAAUAUAUGAUUACAUUAGGAUCUUACUUAGAGGUCAAAGCCACUUGGAGACCUUAACAUUAGUUUAAUAUUCUCUCAAAGUUGAGAGUUCAUUCAACAUAGUAGCUUCACCUUAUAUCAUGUCUAAUGUGCAACCAUACACAUUAAUGCACUCAACAUGGGAAACCCAUUCUGAUGACUAAGACAAGUUAUUCUUCCAAUUAUGAGGUAGUGUACUACAACCUUAGAUUGAUUGCCUAAGUCAAUGAACUAGUUGUGAACUACUCAUCAACUUGCAAGAAACUCAUGACUUUGAUCUCUUAUGCAACUCCUAUUGCACCAAAGUCAUGUAUAAUGCAAAUGAUGUAUACCAAAACGCUCAAAUAAAUUUUAAUGUAAUUAAUGGAUAGAAAAGUGGAAAUUAACUUUGUUACACCGGAUCUUUCUUAUAAGGACUCUAUCCCAAUAAAAACUAAUUGUACUUUAAAGGAAUAUUAGUUUGAAGCAUCUUUGCACAAUGGAGAAAUCUUAGGGCUUUAGUGGAGCUUAAGGAUUUUGAAUGUAGACAAGAUUGUGUGGAAUCAUGUUAUAUUUGGCAUUUGAUUUUCUCUUCCUCUAUUUUGGUGCAUUUGUUAUUAAUUAAUUGCAUUAUCUCACUCUUGCAUUAAAUUUGAUAUUUGGAAAAAAAAAAUUUAAAGACUAUCAUUCAAUUCAUCUUCACCUCGCUUAAAUGAUCACUUAGGUUUGCUAAUUAGAAAGACCGCACAAACUUGUGUUUGGAGAAAAUUCCAUUAUUAUUGUGUUUGAGAGGAAUUUCGAUUAGUUUCUAUGCUUAGAAGUGCACUUUUAUAAUUAUCCUAAGUUUUAAAGAAUUUGAGGAACUCAAAGUGCUAUCAUUUCAUUACCCAAUGCUUAGAAGGUCUUUACAUCUAGAAUUACACCUUUUUAAAUCUACCCAUACCCUCCUUAAGCACCUACCUAAUCAUCCUGAAUAAAGUGUUCUCAUAUUGUUGCUCAUAUGCAAACAAUGCACCUAUAAUUCAAGAAGGUAGAGUGUCUUUACUUCGGCUUUCUGUACUAGUAGUGUUGUACACACAAAUUUCAUGAAGUCUUGCAAAACAAGCAAAACAUAGAAAAAAUAUGUGAACAAAACUUUGUAUUAAAAUUAACUAUAGGGUACAAUCUUUGUGAUGAUAUUCUCUACAAAAGAAUAUUCCCACUAAUUCAAUCACUUUGAUUAAUGAUCCAAUAAACCAUGAUAAAAGUGUUUUAUUUGCUUUAAAGAUUAGACAGAAGUCUAGAGUGGUUUUUUUCCCAAAUGAACUUAUUGAAUAGUGAAGAACAUGUGUGUAGGCUUUCACACUUACAAUGAGAUUUUGUGAAACCUUUUUCUUUUUAUAAAGCCUCUUUCUCAUAUUUAAUGGUGAAAUUUGAGAAUUAAAUUUGGAAUGUCCAAAAUUUAGUUGCUUAAUACAAAGAAUUUGAUUCCUUGAUUUUAGCAAUUUGUCUCAUUUCUUUAGGAAACUUGUCAACAAGAGAAUAUUUAUUUUUUAUUCUCCUUUCACUUCAAUUUGAAGAUUUGUUUCAUUUGUUUUGGAAAUUUGCCAAUAGGAAAAUAUUUAUUUCUAAUUCUACUUAACUUUGAUUUUAUUUUACAAGACUUGAUUUUAUAAGACUUGAUUUUGUUGUCUUCCAAAUUUCACCAUGUGUCACUUUUUUAUGACAUAACAUGUUUGAUGUGCAGGACCUAUCAUGUCAAAC
rnacentral:lncRNA from 1 species